rnacentral:rRNA from 1 species
UACGGGAGGCAGCAGUGGGGAAUAUUGCACAAUGGGCGCAAGCCUGAUGCAGCCACGCCGCGUGUAUGAAGAAGGCCUUCGGGUUGUAAAGUACUUUCAGUCGUGAGGAAGGUGUUAAGGUUAAUAACCUUAGCAAUUGACGUUAGCGACAGAAGAAGCACCGGCUAACUCCGUGCCAGCAGCCGCGGUAAUACGGAGGGUGCGAGCGUUAAUCGGAAUUACUGGGCGUAAAGGGCACGCAGGCGGUUAAUUAAGUUGGAUGUGAAAUCCCCGGGCUUAACCUGGGAAUGGCAUUCAAGACUGGUUAGCUAGAGUCUUGUAGAGGGGGGUAGAAUUCCAUGUGUAGCGGUGAAAUGCGUAGAGAUGUGGAGGAAUACCGGUGGCGAAGGCGGCCCCUGGACAAAGACUGACGCUCAUGUGCGAAAGCUGGGGAGCAAACAGGGAUUAGAUACC